rnacentral:rRNA from 1 species
UACGUAGGGGGCAAGCGUUGUCCGGAUUUAUUGGGCGUAAAGAGCGUGUAGGCGGCCAUGCAGGUCAGCUGUGAAAACUCGAUGCUCAACCUCGAGACGUCGGUUGAAACCGCAUGGCUAGAGUCCGGAAGAGGAGAGUGGAAUUCCCGGUGUAGCGGUGAAAUGCGCAGAUAUCGGGAAGAACACCCGUGGCGAAGGCGGCUCUCUGGGACGGUACUGACGCUGAGACGCGAAAGCGUGGGGAGCGAACAGG